UGAGAACGUGAUGAAAUUGAAUCCGAUUGAAAUUCUUACCUAAUAAAAAUUCCAAUGUAAAUAGAUAUAUGUAACGCAUAGGUAUAGCAAUGCUCAUCCCAAAACCAUUGAAACAUACCUAAUCCGUUUUCACGCAAAUAGAAGCGCCGAUAGUUUCGCGAAACACGUUCUCUUCCCGCUGUGCGGAAAAUCGGAUUAGAAAUGGCAAUUCUAUUUGUACGAAUUCUUCGAAAUGUUUGCCCUCGAUCAGGGAUCUGGUAGAUCCGUUAGAUAUAGUUUUCAAUUAUGGUCCAUUCGGAAUAUACAUAUACGGCAGGCUGCAUCGACGAGUGUUCGUCCCCACGUAAUUUUCCAAUUGACAAAAUGCAAAGCUGAAUGACUAAACGUUAAUUCCAUAAAGCUAUCAGUGCCGUCCUCAUUGAUAAUGUGAAACCGUACGUACAAGCCGGAUGUAUCGAGAAGGUACGUAAAGUACAGUCAACGUAGAAAAGAACAUACGUGUGUAAUGAAUACAUUGAGCAAUGCACGUUCACAAUGAAAUUUCACGUUACAAGAAAUACGGACAGAACGAUAUGACACCCGGUAUAUGGACGUAUAUCCACGUGAUGAAAUGGGGCCGCAAACACAUUUCGAUCGAAUCCUAUGUAUCUGGAUUAAAAGUGCGACUGGUACGAAAAUCGUUUAUGAUUUAUCGACCGAUAGAAAAUGACGUCUGGAACGAAGGUAAAUUUUUUUUUUUUUCAAUCCGAUGGCUUAAAUUCCACGCGUUUUAUUCUACAUCAAUGUGACCGCAGCUGCAGCUGACUUGAAAGUAUGAAAUUAAAAGAUCUUUAAUGCUUUUAUUCAAAAUCUUAGUUGAUGCGACUACUGGCAAUUAUAUACUUUUGAUUACUUUGGAUUGCGUCAGCAAAUGUAAUUGGGAACUUAAUUGCAUUUGGGAAUUGCUUUUUUUUUUAAUUCGCAGGUGACCCCCCCUCUGCUUUGGCAGAUUGACUCAUCUUGCGACGAGUACGUCGUAGGUUCGGCACGACGAACGAUUAAUAUGCGAACGAUUAUAAGAGGAGGAAAUAUUUUCGAAUAGCGUGUACAUGUUGUUUUCGUGCUUUUUUAUAUUCCUUAUUUUUCUCAAUCGUUCGUGCUUGUAAUUUUACAAGUGCUUAAAGAGUGUCGGGUGUUUUUUGGAAAUUAAUGAGAAUGCGCGUUGUGUGUUUACAGACAUGUGGUGGGUGAUCUUAGUCGCAACAUCCAUGUGUGUAAUAAACAUUAGGGUAUGUACAACAACUGGUAGACGCUAUAGACACAGGUGUUAUCGAACGAAAAUGCAUAGAUAAGAACAACGUUAAAACACAGGGAUGUGCCAAUUGUCUGAAAGCCACAGUUACACUAAACCGUUCGAGCCUGAAUCAUUUAGUAUCUUUAAAUUUGCACCUGGGUAUAUAACCGUUGCUUCGCGUUUUCAUUUGCCACAGUGAAGCAAUAAGAGCGAGCAAGAGAAUGAGAAAAGCGGGAGAACCGUGAGGGCGGGAAAUUUGAAAAAAAAUAUCUCUGUAUAAUAUUUCAACUCCCGCUGACUGACGCGCCACCGGUGGCGAAGAUCGAUACUGCAAACUGCGCGAACAUUAAUUCUUGCCGCUUACAGGAAGUUGGUUGCAAAUGCACGUUGAAUACGAAAAAGCUGCAGCUGCAAGGAAAACUCCCCAUAGUUGGAAGGAUAGGUGAGUCCGGUACCUAUAAGUGGCACCGCUUCGGAGGAUCGCGUCAACACGUGGGCCACCAGCAGCGAAAACACCGUCUGUGACAACAGGAUCGUCACACCUGCAACAUCACACACACCAAUCGUAUCGUAUCGAAUCUGACCGUCACGAACGUGUCCUUUUUCUUCCCCCAUACAUUUUGUCGACCUGAGAACUUUUUUUUCAUUUAAUCAAUAAAGUUUCAUAAAAUCUCCUAAAACAUUUGGAUCGUCGUAUUUUCAAUGAUUCCCAAUACAUUUUUAGUUUCACUCAGUUGGAACAAACGGUUGUUGAACCCUUAGCCAGAGAGGCGUCGAGCGAUGUUGCGGUCACUAUUUAUAGUAUAUACGUAUACAUACAUGAAUAUAUAUAUAUAUAUACACACAGUAUACAGUCACGUUGGAACGGACGAAACUUUUAUGGGAGAUUUUACGGGACUUUUAUAUUUCACUGACAUUGCCGUGCUAGCACGGAUAAAUUCAGACUAUGCUUCCUUUUACUUCCUUGCAUCCCUGUUCCCGUGGCUUUCCUCUUUUGCUUUCGAAAGUUUUCGUCGGUUUUGGAGCGGUGCCGAUUCAAAAGUGUGGAAAAUCUUGACAACGUUCCUGCCGCUUCUACCUUCCCUUGCUCUCUUUACUACAACUUACGAGUAUACACCGUGGACGUUUAUUAAAUAGUGUUGACGAACGUCCGGUCUCUCAGUCGUUAAAUUCGCGUUUACCUGACCCACACGUACCUAAAGUGCUUUUGAGAGGCAUGGUGCAGAAGCAGCUUCAUGAAAAGUUGCAUCAACGUGAACUUGGAGAACGUUUGGCACCUUUUCUAGUAUCUAUAAUACACAUCCGAUAGUAACCCUGUGAGCUUGCAAGUGCCGAAUUCAUGCUCGUUACUCCCAUUGUGAAAUCGACUAUUUUAUUUACGAAAAUCAAAAGGGAAAUGGAGAAAAUGAAGUUUUCAAUAAAAAAGUGAUCAAAGUGUAGUCCGCUCUCGUAAAAGGAAAUUCAAAGUAUUGUGAUACAGAGUACGUUGUACCUUCACGUAGAUGCAUAAGAUCUUGAAAGCAGCAUAUCGAAAAGUAAUCUCAUUUCUUGACAAGUCAGAGAGAGAGAGAGAGA